AGGGAAGCGCUGGCUCGCCAUCGUCCUUCACUGCGCCCUGCGCGACUGCGCAGGGCGCGCGCAUGCGCAUCCCCUCAAGCCCGGGUCUCGGAGUGGGACUGGAGUUCCGGGCGACCGGAGUGUUCUUCGGUGUUAUAUCUAAAUUUGUCUGGGGACCUCCUUGAAAUUUCUAAGUAGACAGUUGUAUAAUCCGUGACUAUUGACAUUUGCUUUCUCCUUUGGAACAUUUAAAUUUUAUUCUGUUGACUAGAACUUGAUAGUGGACAUUCUGAGUUGUUUUUGACUAAGGCUGGCUCUCCUUGUGGUAGCAAGAUGGCUGCAUCUUCAUAUCCUCACACCACCGAAUUCAAUGGAAGAGUCUUACCAUUGCUUGCAGCAAGUCCUGCCAUUUACUCUUUUCUUAUUGGCCCCAAAUGAGUCACGUGCUCAUGUGUGGAUCAAUCCUGUGGCUAAGGAGAUGAAAUGAUCUGCCCCACUCAGGGCUGAGAAUGAGGUCUCACUUUAGCUGCGUCGCCAGAAUGGUGUUUCCAAGCAAAACUGUGUUGCUGGUGUGGAUGCCAGGCAAUAAACACACAAUUUCUGCUACAUGGAAAUUUCUCAUUUUUAUGAAAUACGGCUUGGAACAAAUAGUCACCCAGGACAGAGGUCCCGAACCCCUGGAGCAUGGACCGGUAUUCGUCUGUGGCCUGUUCCUAACUGAGCUGCACAGCAGGAGAUGGACGAAGGGGCCCUGAGCCAAGGAAUGCAGGCCACCUCCAGAAGCUGGAAAACGCAAGGAAAUGGAUUCCCCCAAGAGCCUCCAGAAGGAACACAACCAUGCCAACCUGUUUUAGACUUCUGAUCUCCUGAACUAGGCUGCCACACUCAUCUAGGGGCUGCGUCUACUAAUUGAUGCAUGCAGAACUCGUUACUGUUGAUGGAAGCAGAAACAACAAGGCUGAGUGCCUUCAAUACGUCAGAGUUUAGACACCCUCUGGCUCAACUUUAUUGGCCAGUCUUCAUUAGUCAUUGAAACACAAGUGGAAAGAAGAUAAAGAUCCCUGUUAUUUGAGAGCAAAUCUUCUGAAUAUCCAUUCCAUGAAACUCAGAUACCCUCUCUAGGAACACAAACCCCUGGUGUGAAUUUCACUUUCUGAGGAUUUGAUAUUAGUAAACAAGUUAAUUUGGAAAAUGUUG